GACGAACCGUGCGAACGUUAUUCGGAAUCACUGGGCUUAAAGCGCGUGUAGGCGGGACGGCACGUCCGACGCUGAAAUCCCCCGGCUCAACCGGGGAACGGGCGCGGAUACGACCGUCCUGGAGGGGCGUAGGGGGACCUGGAACUUCCGGUGGAGCGGUGAAAUGCGUUGAGAUCGGAAGGAACGCCCGUGGCGAAAGCGAGGUCCUGGACGCUUACUGACGCUGAGACGCGAAAAGCCAGGGGAGCGGAACGGG
rnacentral:rRNA from 1 species